GUUUGCAUUCCAAUUUUCAAAAGUUGCAACUACAGUUUCAAAGUCAGAAAUUCUUUUUACCAAUUUUCAAAGUUGGCAACCACAUUUUCAAGCUCCAGAAAUUGUUGUUAUCCACUUUUCAAAUUGGAAUCAAAUUUUCAAAUUCAGAAUUGUUGCUAGCAUAUUUUUGCAAAUUGCAAUCACAUUUCAAAGUAACAAAUUAUUGCUAGCUAAUUUUUCAAACUUUGAAAAUCAAAUUUUUUCAAACUUCAUAAAUUAUUUCUAGCUCAUUUUUCCUUCAAAAUUGGUAAUUAAAUUUUCAACGAUAAGAAUUAUUGCUAGCAUAUUUUUAAGACUUUAAAUUUAAAUGCAUUUUUGUAUUUUUAAAACGCAGAAGGAUAUUACGGUCAUUUUAGAGCCUCAAGAAUUUAACCAACAAGAGCUUUUACUGAAAAUACCCUAAUGUUGGAAAGUUCUCUAUUUUUGAGAUCUUCAGUGCUUGAAGUCUUCUUACUUUGCAGUCGGCAAUAUCUUCGAAUUUUUUUGCUCCUUGAGAUAAGUCCUUUGAAUAUUUCUACAACUAUCAUAUCGUUGAUAUUAAAUACAUUAGAGCAAUAGAUAGAAUUGUUAUCAUCAAAUAUAGUUGCAACAUAUAUCGGAUUGACGCCAUAGGGCUAACAGACGUGGCAAAGUGAAACUACCAAGUAGAUCAAGGACAGGAGGUCCAAUCCAGAAACAUCCCAAUUAAUUCCAUAGCUCGAAGUGCGUCCGAGUGUGGAAUUGUGGGAAGACCGGGCACUACAAAAAUCAGUGCAGGAAGUACACCGAGGGACCUAGGAGGCGAAGGCAGGGCAAUGUUACUUCCACCUCAGGAAAAGAUGAUGGCGUUGAUAUGCUCUUUUGGAGAGCAGAUAGUCUUGGUAAUUAGACUCAGUGAGCAUCAUUCCACGCUACUUGUCUGCACGAUAGGAAUGUUGCUUCGUGAGAGUUAUGUCCCCGGAAACCUUGAAAAUGUAUACCUUGAUGAUGAAUCCUCCUGGUGCUAUUAUCGUAAAGGUGUAGUAAAGAUUAAGUUGAAAUUGUCUAUUUGGGAGCUGAAGGAUGUCGCAUAUUCCGACCUGAGAAGAACUUAAUCUCAUUGGGCAUUUGCUAGCCGAAGGCUACACUACGAUCUCCAUGGUGAAAAUUGGAAGAUUCAAAGGUGCAAUGACGGUUUGCUCGCGACAAAAGAGUGUACUCUUUCAUGACACGGAGGAGCACGUUCAAUUGCAGUUUGCAAGCAGAACUAAAAAUUCCAAUAAUGUGGCACAGGACUAGGCCAUAUGAUGAAGCCCAAAGGGAUGCACAAAGUAUGCAUUCCAAGGUAACAUUAUCCUCGCCAUCACACACACCAUACAGUUUGUAAGAUAGACAUGUGUAAGAUUGUGUGUGAGGGCUCACCAAGACUUGGAAAAGCUGAGGAGGUUUAGCGUUCAGACAACAGGUGCAGAACACCCAAAGAAGGAAGGCUAGAGCAUUGUAACACACACCCUCCACAUCCGGCUUGGGGCCAACAACCAUUUCAUCCAUUGGUGAAAACACUACUUCGUGACCUUUCAUCGAUGAUUCUCUUUUACGCACGGUAUGGGUUUUCUUUCUAAGCAUAAGUCAUGAAAGUGUUUGAAGCUACUUCAGGAGAUGGAAAGCUAUGGUUGAAAAUGAGACAAGUCUGAAGAUUAACAGCUCAGAACGACAAUGGUGGUGAUAUGAAACACCAGAUUCCAAGAAGUUUUGCGCUAUGAGUACGGAUCAAAUGGAGAGAACCGUGCCCGGGUACGCCUCAACACAAUGGUGUGAGCUGAGCGUAUGAACCGACCUUUUCAGAAAAGCUAUAAACAUUCGUAGACAGUCAGGUCCUACCAGCAAAGUUCUGGCAGACGCUUCACCAAGCAGCUUACUUGAUUCACCGAGGCCCUCGGUUUCCAUGAGAGCACAGAAUACCAGAGGAGGGAUGAGCGGAAAAGAGGUUAAAACCCUACAAACAUCUAAAAGUUUCGGUUGUGUAGCCUAUGUCAUAUCAUGAUCAAGGCCGGAAUAAGCUUGAUCCCAAUCUAGAAAUGCACCUUCAUCGGCUAUGGCGAGGAUGAAUUUGGCUACGCAUUUGGGAUUGACGAAAACACGAAGGUGAUCCGCAGCAAGAUGUGAUUUUCCAACGCAAGAUGAAUGUCAAGGACCGACUAAAAUCGACUCCACGACUCAGAGCAGAGUGGACGGCAGCUUUGCAAUGUAGAUAUUUCCCCGAUAGUCCCGGACGAGCCGAUGUAGCAAGUCUUCAGCUAGAGGAACUCGUUGGACAGAGCAGUGCGCAAGCAGUCCGACACCCACAACCUCCUACUCACUCGUAUGAGAGGUCUUCUAGGCCUCAUGUGCCUAAUAAGAGAUCUAUGAAUUAUUUGUUGUUGAUGAUGGAGGAGUCCUGAGGCUAUGAUUAAACUUGUCAUGAAUGAGAUGCUAGCAAGUGGGAGCUGGGCCAUGAAAAGAC
rnacentral:lncRNA from 1 species